GAUGAACGCUGGCGGCGUGCCUAAUACAUGCAAGUCGAGCGAACAGACGAGGAGCUUGCUCCUCUGACGUUAGCGGCGGACGGGUGAGUAACACGUGGAUAACCUACCUAUAAGACUGGGAUAACUUCGGGAAACCGGAGCUAAUACCCGAUAAUAUAUUGAACCGCAUGGUUCAAUAGUGAAAGACGGUUUUGCUGUCACUUAUAGAUGGAUCCUCGCCGCAUUAGCUAGUUGGUAAGGUAACGGCUUACCAAGGCAACGAUGCGUAGCCGACCUGAGAGGGUGAUCGGCCACACUGGAACUGAGACACGGUCCAGACUCCUACGGGAGGCAGCAGUAGGGAAUCUUCCGCAAUGGGCGAAAGCCUGACGGAGCAACGCCGCGUGAGUGAUGAAGGUCUUCGGAUCGUAAAACUCUGUUAUUAGGGAAGAACAAAUGUGUAAGUAACUAUGCACGUCUUGACGGUACCUAAUCAGAAAGCCACGGCUAACUACGUG
rnacentral:rRNA from 1 species